GGACUACCGGGGUAUCUAAUCCUGUUUGCUCCCCACGCUUUCGCGCCUCAGCGUCAGUACCGGUCCAGAUGGCCGCCUUCGCCACCGGUGUUCUUCCCAAUAUCUACGAAUUUCACCUCUACACUGGGAAUUCCGCCAUCCUCUCCCGGACUCUAGCCAGACAGUAUCAAGUGCAAUUCCCGGGUUGAGCCCGGGGCUUUCACACCUGACUUGUCAAGCCGCCUACGCGCCCUUUACGCCCAGUGAUUCCGAACAACGCUAGCCCCCUUCGUAUUACCGCGGCUGCUGGCAC
rnacentral:rRNA from 1 species